AUACUAUGAGUCCGGCAGUCAGACUACGAAUGAUAAGAUCCGUGGUCAAAAGGGAAAAAGCCCAGAUCGUCAGCUAAGGUCCCAAAGUGUAAGUUAAGUGGUAAAGGAUGUGGGAUUUCUAAGACAACUAGGAUGUUGGCUUAGAAGCAGCCACUCAUUUAAAGAGUGCGUAAUAGCUCACUAGUCGAGAGAUCCUGCGCCGAAAAUGUCCGGGGCUCAAACUUACCACCGAAGCUACGGGCUCAAGUUUACUUGAGCGGUAGAGGAGCGUCGUAAUCGGGCUGAAGUCGUACCGUAAGGAGCGGUGGACUGAUUACGAGUGAGAAUGUUGGCAUUAGUAGCGAGAUGUAAGUGAGAAUCUUACAGGCCGAAAAUCUAAGGUUUCCUGGGGAAGGCUCGUCCGCCUAGGGUUAGUCGGGACCUAAGCCGAGGCCGAAAGGCGUAGGUGAUGGACAAUUAGUUGAGAUGCCAAUACCACUAUUAUCGUUAUUAUCGAUGGUGUGACGGAGAAGGAUAGGAUGUGCUAGCGAUUGGAAAUGCUAGUCUAAGCAUUUAGGGAGUUAAAGUAGGCAAAUCCGCUUUAACAAUUCUGAGGUGUGAUGGGGAAGGUCAUUUUGACUGAAGUAUCUGAUUCCAUGCUUCCAAGAAAAGCAUCUAGAGAGAGAAGUAGUGCCCGUACCGCAAACCGACACAGGUGGGUGAGGAGAGUAUCCUAAGGCCAGCGAGAGAACUGUUGUUAAGGAACUCGGCAAAAUGACCCCGUAACUUAGGGAUAAGGGGUGCCACCAUCAGGUGGCCGCAGAGAAUAGGCCCAAGCAACUGUUUAGCAAAAACACAGGUCUCUGCUAAAGCGUAAGCUGAUGUAUAGGGGCUGACGCCUGCCCGGUGCUGGAAGGUUAAGGGGAACACUUAGCG
rnacentral:rRNA from 1 species